rnacentral:lncRNA from 1 species
ACAGUGUGAUAUAAAAUAGCAAAUUGUGUGUAAAGCAGAGAACGUGCAUUCACUUUGGCACACUCUAUAAAUGCAUUGGCUACAAGUGUUAAUGGAUUUAGAGCUGGUGCUUCAAGAAUGACUGUUGGAGUUUAAUAAGGUAAUUAUCAGAUAACAACCUCUCUCUCUCUCUCUCUCUCUCUCUCUCUCUCUCUCUCUCUCUCUCUCUCUUUCUCUCCUAUAGUGAGGAACUGAAUCACAUGUCUGCAGAGAAGAACGAGGCUGUGAAGGAAGCAGAGACGAUCCUGAGUGAACGAACAGCUGAGCAUGAAGGACAAGCACAGCACUUGAGAGAGGAGAUUCUAAACCUGUCUGCUAAAAUCACAGACCUGCAGAACCACCUAGAGCAAGAAAGGAAACUGCGACUGGUCCAGGGCAAAAGUCAGAUGCAGGAAAACCCUUCAUCACAGGGUCCAUCAUCAUCAUCAUCAUCAGCAGCAGCUGUUAAUGGUGAAGAACAGUGCAGGAAGGAGCAGGCUGCAAGAACCAUUCAAACACACUGGCACGCACAUCGAAUCAGGGAUAUUGUCUUAAUCCAGUCGGCACUGAAAGGUCACCUCAGCAGACAGAAGCAGCUACUCACUCUCAGGAAACAGGCUAGCACUACUCACAGCAAUAACGCACAGAGCAUCCAAUCACUGGGCGGCCCUGCGGUUCCGCGUCCCAGUGCGAGUCGUGAGGGUUUGGAGGCGGAGGAAAUCACACUGCUGCAGUCCGUGUUCCGAGGUCAUCUGAGGCGCCGCGCUCUCAUAGAUGACAGGGCAGCUGCAGGGAGAGAAUCAGGAGAUUUUGCUGCAGUGAAGGGGACCCCUGCAUCUUCAGCGUCAUGUCUGCCAGCAGCACCUGAAGGAGCAGCACCCACACCCUCACCAGCACCAUCAGGCAUACACACACCAGCAUCCCAGCUCCGCUCUAGACCCAGGCCUGAAGGCAGUGAGGAUGAGGAGAUACAGGAAGAGAUUGCAGAAGGAGAUGCUGAGGAAGGCUACAACUCCCACAAUGCCUCAACCAAACCAUCUGAAAUCCCAGUGAAGUUGGACCACCAUCAAGCUGGGGCUAGCUGUGACUCGGACGACUCUGAUGACAUCAUCGUGUCCCCCUCACGUCCAAUGGGAAGGAGGAUGUCUCUUUUCUUCUGA